GAGCACGUAGGUGGGUUUGUAAGUCAGAUGUGAAGGCCUUCUGUUCAACGGAAGAAUUGCAUCUGAAACUGCGAGUCUUGAGUGUAGGAGGGGAGAAUGGAACUUCUGGUGGAGCGGUGAAAUGCGUAGAUAUCAGAAGGAACUCCGGCGGCGAAAGCGAUUCUCUGGCCUAUUACUGACACUCAGUGUGCGAAAGCUAGGGGAGCAAACGGGAUUAGAUACCCCGGUAGUCCUAGCCGUAAACGAUGGGCACUAAGUAGAGGGGUUUU
rnacentral:rRNA from 1 species